GGAAAUCUUACCGGGUCCGGACACACUGAGGAUUGACAGGCAAUAUUAAUACGUGUUCGCACGUAUUAUGUUAAAUAUGCUAGUCCUUUCAUGAUUAUGUGAUAGGUGGUGCAUGGCCGUUCUUAGUUCGUGGAGUGAUCUGUCUGCUUAAUUGCGUUUCACUAAGGGCCUAUAAAUUUACGUGUGUUGCGGCACUUUGACCCCUUUCUUCGGAAAGCGCGUGUCUUAGUUUGCUUUGCUCACACAAUUAGGUCCUGAAAGCAACGAACGUGACCGCAACCUCUUGUUGCCUUUAUACCAAACAUGUUUGUCAUUUUUAUGGCAUUCAUGAAAAAAGGCUUUUUAAACUAGAGGGACCGCUGUUACUUUCUUAAACCAGAGGAAGGUUGCGGCAAUAACAGGUCUGUGAUGCCCUUAGAUGUUCCGGGCUGCACACGUGCUACAAUGAUUAUUGCAGUGAGCAUCUCAUUUUUACACACCGCAUGCGCGAGUCCAUUUAUUCACUUCGGUGCUUUAAAUGUGUAUUUCUGCGCGCGGUAAAGCCUGCUUCGAAAGUAAGUGGGUAAUCAAUUAGAAGUAAUGAUUUCCUUUUUAGCACACAUAUAUACGGCGUCUAUACCCGGGUUACCUUGUUGUAACUUUUGUGUGUAUAGAUGUUUUUUCCGUAUGUGCGAUUGUCAAUUCAUGGUGGGGACAGACCAUUGUUAAUUGUUGGUCUCGGUCUUAACUAGGAAUGCCUUGUACGGGUCUUUGGUUCAACAAACCACCCGGAAUACGUCCCUGCCCUUUGUACACACCGCCCGUCGCUCUUACCGAUGGACUUCUCUGUGAGUUUGAGGGACUGGGAACGCAGAAUUUAUUCUGCACACCUAUGGAAACUUAAACGAACAGUGUGGUCUAAAGGAAAGAGAAGUCGUAACAAGGCAUCGGUAGGUGAACCUGC
rnacentral:rRNA from 1 species